UGAGGAAUCUUGCGCAAUGGGCGAAAGCCUGACGCAGCGACGCCGCGUGAAGGAUGAAGGUCUUCGGAUUGUAAACUUCUGUCGAGCGGGACGAAUGCCAUGAGGGUGAACAAUCCUCGUGGUUGACGGUACCGCUGGAGGAAGCCCCGGCUAACUCCGUGCCAGCAGCCGCGGUAAUACGGAGGGGGCCAGCGUUGUUCGGAAUCAUUGGGCGUAAAGGGCGCGUAGGCGGCCGAUCAAGUCGGAGGUGAAAUCCCUCGGCUCAACUGAGGAGUUGCCUCCGAUACUGUUCGGCUUGAGUCCUGGAGAGGGUAGUGGAAUUCCCAGUGUAGCGGUGAAAUGCGUAGAGACUGGGAAGAACACCAGUGGCGAAGGCGGCUACCUGGACAGGUACUGACGCUGAAGCGCGAAAGCUAGGGGAGCAAACAGG
rnacentral:rRNA from 1 species